rnacentral:rRNA from 1 species
UACGAAUGGGGCAAGCGUUGUUCGGAAUCACUGGGCUUAAAGCGUGCGUAGGCGGACUCACAAGUCAGAAGUGAAAUCCCCGGGCUCAACCCGGGAAUUGCUUUUGAAACUGUGAGUCUAGAAUCCCGGAGAGGUUAGGAGAAUUCCGAGUGUAGAGGUGAAAUUCGCAGAUAUUCGGAGGAAUACCAGUGGCGUAGGCGCCUAACUGGACGGGCAUUGACGCUGAGGCACGAAAGCGUGGGUAGCAAACAGG